UCAUAUGGUCAAUGACAAUUGGCAUGCUUAGAUUGAAAUGCAGGCAUUAUACUAUUGUUAUGUUGUAAAUAAAUAGCUGAAUUAUAUUUACAGUGUUGAAAUUUUUUUAUAUUGAAUUAUAAGUUUUAAUCUAUGCAUUCAGUGCCUCGAAGUAUUCUUUAUAAUGGAACAUAUUCGACAAUUCGAUUGGUGCUAUUCUCAGCCAGACAUAUACUUCGUAAAAGAAGAAGAUUUAGCUCACAGUGUAACAGAGAAAAUACUACGAAACAAAUUUCAUGACCCCCUAAUAUCCAGUGACUCCGAGGAUGAAAACGUCAAAGUAGAUUGGGAUCAAGUUUUCAGUAAAACACAGAGUGCUGAUAAAGUGCAUCGCAUCUUUGUCCCAUGUCUCACUCCAUUGCCGCAAUACCUCAAGAAGUCUGCUUUGACGGAACAUCAACACUACCAAUGCAUCAAAGUGCUGUGUUCACAGAACUUGCAUGUUCUGGAACAAGAAUUUGUACCGAGACCAACUAAGAGUGAUUAUAAAGUAUUCGAGGAGCUAAAAUCUAUUUAUGAACAGGAACAAAAGGAGUACAGGGAAUGGGCCAAAAGUCUUUGGGCGACAACUCAUUGUGUGAGAGCAUUGAAGCCAAAACCGAUUUUGGAAGCGGUUUAUGAAGCAUUAAAUAAGUUAAAAGCUCAUAAAAUGCAGUGCUAUCCAAAAACUUUUAGCUUGGCGGCACAGAUACCGCUUGACUAUAAGAAUGACUCAUUUGAAAUGGUUUUAGAAGAGGAUCUUAUUAAUGUGGACUUAUCAUCAUUGCCAAUAAUAGAUAAAAUUGAUUUGUCGAAAAAGUUUGUGGUCAUGAAGUCGCAUCCCGUGCCAGAGCCCUGCAAGAAACACAUCUGCAGGUUCAUACUGCCAAAUGAGAAGACAAUGUCAAUGUUGCCGCUAUGGUCGGUGGAGUCAGAGUUGGCGCAGUAUUGUCUAGAUCGAGGCGCCAUCUGUGUGGCCUCAGAAGACGCGCUCGGCUGUCUCGUUGAACUGGAUAGACCCUGGGACCUCGCCCUCUCGGUGCACCGGGUCACUGACCCAGACGGUGAGCCAGUUAACAUACUGAUACUGGGUGAGGAGUUUGUUGCGAACAAGGAGUCGCCUCUCACGCGGAGCUACAAGGCGUUCAAGUAUUUAUUGGAGCAGGAGUUAAUACCAGCAUCAGAAAAAUUAAAACAAAGUGCGGGAAAUGGAGAUGAUUCAGACGAAAAUACAGAUGAUAUAGAUUUAGAUGGAAGCUCGGAUGAUGAAAACAACAGACUGUGUAUUGAUGAUGCACAGAUGGAUGUUACACAGGAUAUGGAGGAAGGGGAUUCGAAGGCUGGAGACGACAUGCCGAGCGGCAGACUAGAUACCUGUGAUGACAAUGAGUUUGAAUUGAACCGAUGCACGUGUAAAGGGACUAUGUUCGAGACGCCUCCGCCGAGGUCGUUUAGGAAGUGGCGGAUCACUGACAGGACGAAUGAUGACAGUUUCAGUGUGAUAGUGCACUGCGAGCAUCGCCUGAGGGACAAACACUCGGAGCUGAUCGUGGAGCCGACACCAGAGUAUCAGCUGGAGCUGGGCGCGGCCGCCCUGAGCCAGGGCCGGCUGAGGAAACUCGCGCUGGCCGGGAGGAUCAGGAAGAACGCCGGCGUGCUGCACGUGAGAGUGAACGCGGGUACGGGCGAGGUGGCGACCGCGGAGUACUUGUCCAUGGAGCAGUUCGUGUCCCGGCACGGCUCCUGUGACGUCACAGGACACGUGCACUCCGCGCUCACACAGCUCCAGGGACUCCGCCCGGGGAGAUACGUGCUCCGACAUGAGCCGAGUCACGGCUGCAACGCCCUGCUGCUGGCGGCGGGGGACGGGGCGGGGCUCCAGGCGCGGCCCGGGCGGGACGCGGACGACGCGCUGCUGCUGAGGACACCGCCCACCAUCAGCACCGACCUGCUGCCCUAUCACAAGUUCCGGCGCAUCCUGCCGUGUGCGUUCACGCCUCACGAGCGCCAGGUGCAGCGCGUGCCGGCGCGGGCCCUCGCCCGCCACAGGACUCCGCCCCGCGCCCUGCAGGUUGCGUACUCCCAAGAAUAAUAUAUGACACCACCUCCCACCAGCUAACACAAUAUACAGGGUGUGCAACCGUUGACAUUGUCCGUCAUCUGUUUGUUGUCCGAUCGUUCCGCGGAGGUUAGCAAGAGAAUAUAUAAUAAGCUUAAUCCAUCGCCGCGAGCCCGACCCGGCGGCUCGGUCCCGCAGCGCCGGGGCGAGGAGUCCGGAGGCCGGAGGUGCGAUCCUAGCGAGUCGAUGAGUUUUUUCCUUAUAUAUUCAAUUUGAAUUUAAAUUCAGGUUGCAGUCAGAUUAUCAUUGAAACGGCUAGGAGUUGCUUCAUUGGUUUACGAUUAACAAGCACUGCCCUGAAGUUAUUAUAGUCCACAUGCCAUGCAUGCAUGUAUGUAUGUUUGUUUGUUUGUUUGUUUGUUUGUUUGUGUUUCAAAAACUACUGGAUGGAGGUUUCCGUUGGGACUUUAUGUAUUUCUCACGGUGAGUAUAAACUACAUUAAUAUCGCGAGCACGCGUCUCCAACGUUAUAUAUAAACUUAUUUACUUUAUAUAAAAAAAAACAUGGACUCAAAGAAAGCUAAAAUGUUAGAAGAAAAAACGAUUUAUUUCACUAUCUUCUGUCCUGAUAUAUAAAGUAUGGCAGGUCUCGCUGCGUCUGCAAGUAUUAAACCUUAAUUAUCUCUAUGAACUUUUAAACAACUUUAAAGACACAUGUCUUUGCAUGUGUGGGUUCGGGUUGCGACGUGUUUAUGACGUCCCAUCACUCAACAGUAAUCUGAGUAACUCGUCGAUUUGCUACGAGUCCUUCAUUGGCCCAAGAAAAAGAAGAAGAAGAAACCAAAGAACUAGAAGAGUUUAAAAAAUACAGUGUUGAUGUUCAAAA